GUCCAGGUCCCGCUCCCGGUCCCCUCGGAGGAGAGCCCACUCCCCUGAGAGACGGAGGGAAGAGAGGAGUGUGCCCACUGCCUACCGCGUGAGCCGCAGCCCUGGGGCCAGUAGGAAGCGGACCCGCUCCAGAAGUCCCCACGAGAAGAAGAAGAAGAGGCGGUCCCGGUCGCGGACCAAGUCCAAGGCCAGGUCUCAGUCGGUGUCACCCAGCAAGCAGGCAGCGCCCCGGCCCGCGGCCCCCGCGGCCCACUCGGCGCACUCAGCCAGCGUCUCCCCUGUGGAGAGUCGGGGCUCCAGCCAGGAGCGCUCCAGGGGAGUCUCUCAGGAAAAAGAAGCCCAGAUCUCUUCAGCAAUCGUUUCUUCCGUGCAGAGCAAAAUCACUCAGGAUCUCAUGGCCAAAGUCAGAGCGAUGCUUGCAGCUUCCAAAAACCUGCAAACCAGCGCUUCCUGAGACGGGGCCAGCGGAGGCAGAGCCGGGAGGCUGCGUGGGCUUCUGGGCAGGCUCACGCAGACGCCGGCCACACCAUCCACCUGGCCGCCUCCAUGGACCCUUGGUGGCUUUUGUAAAUUAAUUUUUGAUGACAUUUUGAGUUUUAAGAUUUCUGACCAGCAGUCUCUUACCUGUAUAUUUGUAAAUAUAUCAUGUUUCUGUGAAAAUGUAUUAUGAAAUAAAAUGGGAGGAAACACCUUU
rnacentral:lncRNA from 1 species